GCCUCAGGACCUCCUGGCCAGCACCCCGUUACACUGCUAUAUGAAAAUGCAAAAUAUUUUUAAGGUCAGUCAGUGAAAGGGGCAGGAUUUAGCCCUACAUUAACACUGCUGUUGUGAAGUACAGUUCAAGUAUUAAACCAUGGCAAACUGCACAGAGCAACUGCAGCAUCUUAUGUCAGCAAGGAAAGGAGAAUGCUGAGUCUUACUGGAACUGCAGGCAGAAUUUAAGCACAAUAAGCACAAGAGGCAAGCUGGAUCUAGCACUGCCUGCUUAAUGCUGAAGUCCAAUCCUGCAACUCUUGCUAACAUGAGAAGUUCUCACUUUCAGGAUUACUCUCAUGAAUAAAUUAUACUAGUGAUGCCAAUGAGAUUGCACUGACACGAGUGAGAAGAAUUUGGACCAUAACUUGCAAAUCCUGGGCAAUGAAGUGUGAAUGCGCAUGAUCAAGCCAGACAGCCAUGCACAGAAUGAGAUGGGUAUGAUACUCUUCAACGCAGGUGUAGACAUGAUUAUUUUGGCACCACAAAAACUCUGGGAAGGAAGGAUGGAGCUUUCAUUGAAACUGGCUAACAAUGAAGGACUAUGCUAACCAGCUCUAAACCAGUUGGGCUUUGGAAAGGUCUGUUCUCCGAGUCCUUAUUACUGAAGCACAGUAAAUAUGAUGUCCAUUGGACUGUUUUUUUUUUCCCCACACAGUACAAUUGUGAUGCUCUCCUCAGGACAACCAGAACCAUAAGCCACUGUGUAAUCCCUCUGCCUCAGCGAGGAAGAGUUUUGCUUAAACUGAGUGUCAUCUGCUUGCCACACCAGUCGAUCCUCCUUUAUACCCAAUCCUCCUCACCAGCAACUCCACAAGUCUCUGCCAGUCUAAAUCUUGCCUUGGAGGUAACAACCAGUGAUUCCCCAGAGAUGUCUCUGCAGCGUCUAGACCCUCUCACUGGACACUCUCAGAAAUUAUUAAGUUUGCUGUUUCCAAAGAGAGACAGUGCACAGCCCAGCCUGUUAGGUUUGCGAAGGACUCACUCUUUACUUCAGUGUAAUGGCACUGAGAUGGUUUAUUGUAAAACCAAGAAUAAAUUUAUUAAUAAAAAACAGAUUUAAGUGAUACCAAACAAGGAUAAAGGAGAUAGAAAAGGGUUACAGACAAAACAAAACAAACAUCCUUUCUAGUGCCUACAAUUUCAUUCUAACAAGCUAUGUCAUUGCCCAGCAUCCACAUAUCAAGCUAACAAGCAUCUCUAGCCCUUCCUGGUAGGAGGAUCCAAUGUUCUCAGAAUCAGAGGGUGUUGUCCUCAAGAGCCAGGAAGACUUUCUGGGAGUACUGACUCUGCUCCCUGGUGUGCUCACUACACUACUUCCUCCAUUGCUUGUUAGCGUGAUUGCUUUGUUUACACGAUAUGUAAAUAUACUUUCAUAGUCAUCGGUUUGUAAGCAAGCCAGUCACACACACACAUCCACAGUCCUUUGUCUAUGGCAGGCUUGCCUUAUGCACUGCUUCCCGAACACAUUUUAGGAACAUAUUUCCAGCACACAUACACAACUCUUUAUACACAAGCCAUA